AGGUAGCGCCUCGGACGAAUACCAUUGGGGGUAGAGCACUGUUUCGGCUAGGGGGUCAUCCCGACUUACCAAACCGAUGCAAACUCCGAAUACCAAUGAGUACUAUCCGGGAGACAGACUGCGGGUGCUAACGUCCGUAGUCAAGAGGAAAACAAUCCAGACCGCCAGCUAAGGCCCCAAAAUUAUAGUUAAGUGGGAAACGAUGUGGGAAGGCAUAGACAGCUAGGAGGUUGGCUUAGAAGCAGCCACCCUUUAAAGAAAGCGUAAUAGCUCACUAGUCGAGUCGGCCUGCGCGGAAGAUGUAACGGGGCUAAAACUAUAUGCCGAAGCUGCGGAUUUGCAAUUUAUUGCAAGUGGUAGGGGAGCGUUCUGUAAGCCGAUGAAGGUGUAUUGAGAAGUAUGCUGGAGGUAUCAGAAGUGCGAAUGCUGACGUGAGUAACGACAAUGCGAGUGAAAAACUCGCACGCUGAAAGACCAAGGGUUCCAGUCCAACGUUAAUCGGGGCUGGGUGAGUCGACCCCUAAGGCGAGGCCGAGAGGCGUAGUCGAUGGGAAAUUGGUUAAUAUUCCAAUACUUCUAUGUAAUGCGAUGAGAGGACGGAGAAGGUUAAGUCAGCCUGGCGUUGGUUGUCCAGGUGGAAGGUUGUAGGCAUGUAUCUUAGGCAAAUCCGGGGUACUCUAUGCUGAGAACUGAUAGCAAGCUGUACUUGUACAGUGAAGUGGCUGAUACCAUGCUUCCAGGAAAAGUCUCUAAGCUUCAGUUACAUAGGAAUCGUACCCGAAACCGACACAGGUGGUCAGGUCGAGUAGACCAAAGCGCUUGAGAGAACUCUGCUGAAGGAACUAGGCAAAAUGGUACCGUAACUUCGGGAGAAGGUACGCUGCCGACGGUGAUAGGAUUUACUCCUUGAGCUAUUGGCAGCCACAGAAACCAGGCCCCUGCAACUGUUUAUUAAAAACAUAGCACUCUGCAAACACGAAAGUGGACGUAUAGGGUGUGAUGCCUGCCCGGUGCUGGAAGGUUAAUUGAUGGGGUUAGCGUAAGCGAAGCUCUUGAUCGAAGCCCCAGUAAACGGCGGCCGUAACUAUAACGGUCCUAAGGUAGCGAAAUUCCUUGUCGGGUAAGUUCCGACCUGCACGAAUGGCAUAAUGAUGGGGGCGCUGUCUCCAGCAGAGACUCAGUGAAAUCGAAUUCGCCGUGAAGAUGCGGUGUACCCGCGGCUAGACGGAAAGACCCCGUGAACCUUUACUGCAGCUUGACAUUGAACUUUGAUCUUACUUGUGUAGGAUAGGUGGGAGGCUUUGAAACCGAGACGCUAGUUUCGGUGGAGCCAAUCUUGAAAUACCACCCUGGUAAUAUUGAGGUUCUAACUCUGCUCCAUUAUCUGGAGCGAGGACCAUGUCUGGUGGGUAGUUUGACUGGGGCGGUCUCCUCCUAAAGAGUAACGGAGGAGUACGAAGGUGCGCUCAGCGUGGUCGGAAAUCACGCGUAGAGUAUAAAGGCAAAAGCGCGCUUAACUGCGAGACCCACAAGUCGAGCAGGUACGAAAGUAGGUCUUAGUGAUCCGGUGGUUCUGUAUGGAAGGGCCAUCGCUCAACGGAUAAAAGGUACUCUGGGGAUAACAGGCUGAUACCGCCCAAGAGUUCAUAUCGACGGCGGUGUUUGGCACCUCGAUGUCGGCUCAUCUCAUCCUGGGGCUGAAGCAGGUCCCAAGGGUAUGGCUGUUCGCCAUUUAAAGAGGUACGCGAGCUGGGUUUAGAACGUCGUGAGACAGUUCGGUCCCUAUCUACCGUGGGCGUUGGAAAUUUGAGAGGAUCUGCUCCUAGUACGAGAGGACCAGAGUGGACGAACCUCUGGUGUACCGGUUGUGACGCCAGUCGCAUCGCCGGGUAGCUAUGUUCGGAAGGGAUAACCGCUGAAAGCAUCUAAGCGGGAAGCCUACCUCAAGAUAAGAUUUCCCUAGGACUUUAUGUCCUCUAAAGAGCCGUUGAAGACUACGACGUUGAUAGGUUGGAUGUGGAAGCAUAGUGAUAUGUGAAGCUGACCAAUACUAAUUGCUCGUGAGGCUUGACUAU
rnacentral:rRNA from 1 species